AAUUUUUCAACGAUUUAUAAAAUGAAAAUAUUGUACCUUUUUGAGAAUGCAGCACGGACAAAUACUUAAAAUAUAUAGCUCCACAUGUCAGACUGUGGUUUAAUAUGAACUAAGCUCUGCUUUAUUGAUACACUUGAGUUAUCCAAAUUUAUUACAAAAGGGUAAACUGAAGCAACAUUAACCUGAUUUCAUUGAGAUCCAUUCAACUGUAACAGAAUAUACAUCUUUUAUGAAAUCAAGGAUCUUUACAAAGCCAGCCACGAUAAAUACACUCAUAUAAGACCAUGAAACAAUGAAAGUACAACAUGUGGCAAGA
rnacentral:misc_RNA from 1 species